GACGAACGCUGGCGGCGUGCUUAACACAUGCAAGUCGAACGGAAAGGCCCUGCUUUUGUGGGGUGCUCGAGUGGCGAACGGGUGAGUAACACGUGAGUAACCUGCCCUUGACUUUGGGAUAACUUCAGGAAACUGGGGCUAAUACCGGAUAGGAGCUCCUGCUGCAUGGUGGGGGUUGGAAAGUUUCGGCGGUUGGGGAUGGACUCGCGGCUUAUCAGCUUGUUGGUGGGGUAGUGGCUUACCAAGGCUUUGACGGGUAGCCGGCCUGAGAGGGUGACCGGCCACAUUGGGACUGAGAUACGGCCCAGACUCCUACGGGAGGCAGCAGUGGGGAAUAUUGCACAAUGGGCGGAAGCCUGAUGCAGCAACGCCGCGUGCGGGAUGACGGCCUUCGGGUUGUAAACCGCUUUCGCCUGUGACGAAGCGUGAGUGACGGUAAUGGGUAAAGAAGCACCGGCUAACUACGUC
rnacentral:rRNA from 1 species